rnacentral:misc_RNA from 1 species
AAAGAAUUUUUUACUGGUCAACUGACGUUUCACGUUCGGCCAUGAACUUAAAUCUAAAACUCUUUAUUGCACAUUCCAUCUUCUCCCCUCCCCUCUCAUAACACGUACAAGCCCGAGUAAGACUGGUACGGAUAACAGCAAUGGCGUCCGGAAGUGAUAUGAUGACGAGUCUAAAUUAAAAUCUAAAAUGAUUUUGUAUAUUUAUUGAAUAUUGAGAAGAGUCGUAUUUGAAAUGAUUUAAAAAAAUUAAUCCUUCUUUUAGAUAAAGCUUGAUAUCAAAAGUUAUUGCGAUCAGCUUAAAUAUGUUAUGAUACGUGGACUAGUGUUAGGUUUUUAUAUAUUAUUUAUAUAUUUUUGGAAAUGUCUAAAUAUCACAAACUAGUAGAAAGCAUUGAUAUUACCAGUGAUUUUAAAGCAAAAGAAGAGAACUCGUUACCUCCGCCUUCUCCAACAAUGAUGUCCCAAAAUGGUCGAUUUCUAGACCCACUGAUGAGUAUCCUAUGGCAACUAAUGUUUAUUGCAGGGGUCUUCAUUUAUGGAUCACACUCUAUAUUAAUCAAUCUGUGCAAAGUGGAUGGGAAGAUACCAUUUAAUUCUGCUUCAGUUGUACUUCUUAUAGAACUAGCUAAGCUUCUAUUUUCUCUAUUUUUCUUCAUCCCUGAAGCACUGGCUGGUAACAUCCACAGCCCAUCUGUUAAAACUGUCUUAGCAUUUUCAAUACCAGCUGUGUUGUACUGCAUUAAUAACAACAUUGUUGUUCAUGUUCAACUCUAUUUGGAUCCUGCAAGUUUCCAGGUACUCGGCAAUUUAAAAAUAGCAACUACUGCAGUGUUGUACUGGUUAAUAAUUAAAAGAAAAAUUUCAAGACAGAAAUGGAUUUCUUUAUUUUUAGUGACAUUAGCUGGGAUAUCAAACAGCUAUGGUGGUCUCCACCCUCACCAUGAAAUAAUAAAAGACAACAAACAACAAGUUGAAAAUAAAAUUUAUGUUACACUACUUGGAGUUCUAUUAAUGUUACUAUACUGCACAAUAUCUGGACUGGCAGGGGUAUACACUGAAUAUAUUCUCAAGCGACAGUUCAAGGUUUCUCUGCAUCUACAGAACUCAUUGUUAUACACAUAUGGUGUGGUUCUCAAUUUCUGGGCGUUUAUUAUUAACGACAGCAUCCAAAAUAAUACACACGAGACUGUUUCUGGUUCUGGUUUAGGUGACUUCUUCACUGGAUAUUCAAUGUGGACUUUUCUCAUUAUUAUAACUCAGGCUAUGAAUGGCUUGAUCAUGUCAUACUGCUGGGGGUAGGGUAGGGCUAAUACUGUCAUGGUACUAGUAAUAAUGCUGUUGUGUUCUUGUUUGUUCAAGGCUAUGAAUGGCAUGAUAAUGUCAUACUGCUGGGGGUGGGGUAGGGCUAAUACUUUCAUGGUACUAUUAAUAAUGCUGUUGUGUUCUUGU